CGGACGAACACGCAGCAGCGUUCAUCUCUGUUUCAGUACUCAGGGCGCGUUCACUCGAAGUGGUUAUGCACAUGCAAUAAAGAAAAGAUUCGUAUUUUGUGACAUCAGAGCACGAUAUAACGUAUCGAGCAUCGAGCGAGAAAAAUUAUACGGGUGGAUCUUUAACCAGUAAAUCUUCUAGUGAAUUCGACGAUUUUCUGACAGCUCGUUUUCAGAAGAAGCGAAAACACCGCGAAAACACCGAAAAACUAGGAAGUCUCCUCGUGGGAGAAGCAAGAAGACGGAGCGUGCAUGCUGAGGCGACCGACGUUUAGUGACUUUUCCAAGAUCGACCGGAAAGUCCUUAUGGUAGGUGAGGGGCGUGAACGAUCUUUCCCGAGCGAGAUCCAGAGGCUGAAGGGCUGGCCCCGACGUUGGAUCCACUCGGCCAGCAGCUACAUUUAGAAUAACAACGAUGACCGAUCGUAACGAGAAUCUGCUAUUAAAACCAACGAAUCAACUCAACGUGCAACAGGUACCCCACAAAUCUGCCUGCAAUUGGAACAACAAUAACGAUAUUCGCAACAACGGCUCGACGAACUUGAUCAAAAGAGACGGACUAACUACGAGAGAUCCAAAUUAUUAUCCACGAUCGAACAGCUAUCAGAGAGAUCAAACAAAUUCGAAUUAUCGUCUGCCGAGAAAGGCGCCCAUCGUUGGCUGGCAAAAUGGCAGUCCAACGGUAUUUCCAAGCACACCGUGCGGCACACCAGAUCCAGAAACGCACGAUACGAUCGAUUUGUCUCGUUCCCAAAGCGUCGCCUCGUCUACGAAAUAUUCAGAGAUCGAUCCAGAUUCUGGCAACACCGAAGACCUCAGUAGUUUGGCGGACGAAAGACUUCUUCAAUCUACACCAGCUCAUACCAUCGAUCGAAGCGUGGAAUCAUUGUCACCCGAUAAGGAAACUUUCUUAACGACAUCUCCGGAAAUUGGCAAAAGCAAGGAUCUAAGUUUGACCGACGAUAUAGAGGAUAAGAUCGAUCUGCUGAGUCCUGGAACAGAUUGCACGGAGGACAGAGCACCACCUACUCCUAGUGACAAUAGUUUCCUGGCCUCGCCGAACCAUACGAUAGGACCUGCCCCUGUCAAUAAAAUCGAGUUAAUAAUAACAACCCCGUUACCAAACGAGUUGCGCACAUUCCAAAAAAACGGGGGAUCCAACAAUUGCAGAUAUUCGGAGACAAGGCCAAUAAUCACCCCUAAUCCUGGCUACAGAGACGACACGAGAGAUUCCAUCGAUUCCGAUAGCACUUUAGAAGACGAAUUAGCCAACAAGGGAAAAAGGAAACCUAAAGUGCCAGAUGGUGGAUGGGGUUGGGUAGUCGUAUUGGCUUCUUUGGUCAUCUCCAUGAUAGCCGAUGGAGUUUCCUUCAGUUUCGGCCUUUUGUACAUCGAAUUCCUUAAAGAAUUCGGUGCGUCUAAAUCGAAAACAGCCUGGAUAGGUUCUCUCUUUAUGGCUGUACCACUUUUGUCCGGUCCUAUAAUGUCGGCCUUAGUAGAUCGUUACGGAUGUAGGAGUAUGACCAUCGUAGGUGGCCUGAUCUCAGGAAUAGGCUUCGUGUUGAGCUCUUUUAGCAAUUCCAUCGAGGUAAUGUAUUUGACUUUUGGAGUCAUCGCUGGUUUAGGUUUGGGUUUGUGUUACGUCACUGCAGUCGUGAGCAUCGCGUAUUGGUUCGAUAAGAAGCGAACCCUAGCUGUAGGAUUGGGCGCCUGUGGCACAGGGAUCGGUACCUUCUUGUACGCGCCCAUGACCACGUAUUUCAUCGAGGAAUAUGGCUGGAGAGGCACUUGCUUGCUGCUAGCAGGCACCUUCUUCAACAUGAUCGUCUGUGGUACGGUAAUGCGCGACCCUGAAUGGUGGAUCUUGGAACAGGAAAAGCAGAACGGUGCAACCCCGAAAAAGUCGACGACCAAGUCCGAAUGCGAUAGAUCCAGUAUCAGCCCUGCAGACGAGUUUCCUGGGGUCGAGGAAUUGAGAAGGAUGCUGAAGAGCGGACAUACGCCGGAGUAUUUGUUACAGAUUCUCAGCACCACCACGGAGGGUCCACAGACGGCGAACGGUGAUAUUAGAUUUAGAAGCGUGGUUAAUCUACCUACUUUCGUGAAGCACAAUGAAAAGGUUCCCGUGGAAGUAUUAGAAUCGCUAUCCAGUAACCCGAGACUGUAUAAGGUCAUUUUGGAGAACUAUCCCAACCUUCUAUCAUGUAGAAGUUAUUCGGAUAAAAUGCUACAAGAUUCCACUGGAGAAGUCGGCAAUAAGAGUGUCGUCACAAUGUCUAUGAGGAUCAAACAAGCACCUGACGAAUCAAAACAUGACAAUUCACAUGCAACGAAUAAUGUUCAAUCAGGAUCUGCAUGCAACACCAUAAAGAAUCACAUAACGAAAAAAAUAUCUAAAAAAGAUUUAGAAGAAGCCAAUCCUCUCUUGAUCAAAGAACUUGAGUAUACAAUGAGCGAAGGACGAAAAUCAAAAUCGAUUUCUAAACAACGCAUAGCGGAUCUUAGUUGUGGAGUCGUCAGAACGGAUUCUCUCCCGUGGUUAAGAAGACAAUUUAAUACCAAUACUCACCAUUUUAAAGAUAUUAGAGUUCACAGGAACUCGGUCAUGUAUCGUGGUGCUGCUCUUAAUUUGCACAAAUACAGAUUAAGGGCCAGUAGUUGUCCUGAUAUUUAUAGAAAUAGUAUGACUACAUUAGCCAAAGAAAACGAAGAGAAAUGGUACAGCGAACUAGUAGACUUACUGAAAGGUAUGAUGGACUUUUCAAUGUUCCUGGAACUGCACUUUUUAUUCCUCUCACUGUCAACGAUCUUGCUGUUCACUUGGUUUAUCGUGCCUUACUUUUAUCUUGCCGAGCAUCUUACCAGAAACAGUUACAUCGAGUCUGAUGCUGCGAAUCUCCUUAGUAUUAUCGGCAUUACUAAUACGAUUGGAAUGAUUGGUCUUGGAUGGGCAGGAGAUCAACCUUGGAUGAAUGUUAGUAAAACCUACACUUGGUGUCUGGUUGCUUGCGGUGUGGCAACGAUUUUGAUGUCAACGUUAACUCCUUAUUAUAAUCUGCUGAUGGUCACCUCGGCAGCGUUCGGUCUCUUUUUUGCGAGUAGCUUUAGCUUUACUCCUGUUAUAUUGGUAGAGUUGAUACCUCUAGAGAGAUUCACCACUGCCUACGGCCUUAGUUUACUUUGUCAAGGUAUAGGAAACCUUCUUGGUCCACCACUGGCUGGUUGGAUAUUUGACGUAACGAAUUCGUGGGACUUGUCUUUUUGUUUGGCUGGUGGAUGGAUUGUUAUUUCUGGGUUUUUGGUAGGCCUCAUUCCGUACACAAAAAAUCGAAAGAUUUGGGGUAAAGGACCCAUCGAAAUGGAGCGUGAGAGAGAUAGUAUAGCUUGAAUUUAUUAUUAGUCGACUAAACUCUUACUUUCAACAAAGACAAGCGAUGGAAUUGUUGAUUGAUAAUUUACUGUUAUUUUAAUCAUCGGGAGAAGGAAAAUAUUAAUUGUUGCAUUAAUAUUUCUUUAAUCUAUAAUGAUUUUAUCAUCAGAUUUCUUUUUAUUAAAUGCAUGUACUUUAUAUACAGUGAUAAUAAUAAUACUUAUUGAUCCGUAAUAUUUAUAAAAUGAACCGUAAAAUGUACAUAUGUUAAUAACUUAAAGUUAUUUAAAUUGCAGUGAAGUAUAGUUAAUUGUAUUUAAAAUUCACUGAAGAAAUCAUAAUAUAUGAAGAAUUAGCAAAGGUACAAAGAAACAAUGAAUGUAUCAUAAGAUUUUUUUAUCAUGCGGCAAACAUAAUUGAACAUCGUAUAUCACUACUUAAUUAUUUUGUGGAUUUAUUACAGUUUGAUUCAUUCAACUGAAACAAAAGUGCAUCCUUAUCUUUUAAAUUGCAAUUUAUCUUUCGAUUAAUAUGUGCGAUGCGUGUCGCUUGCGUAAACGUAGAUAUCCAUAAAUGAUGUAAACGAAUAUCGAUAUGCAAUUGGUAUAUAUUAUUCGCUGUUGUUCCAACAGUACAAAGCUAUAAAAUACAUAUUAUUUACUUUUCUUUAAAAAAAUUAAUUCGCCAAUAAUUUUAUUAAAGACAAAAUUCUUUCUUAAAAACAAAUAAAACAAUAAAAAAAGGAUAUUUCUAAAAAAGGUGCUCGUAAUUAAAAGAAGGUUGCUUUGAUAAAUAUUUACAAAAUUUCUAUAUACGUGUAUUACUAGAAAAACAUGUACUAAUAUACAAAUAUAUACUAUUUGGUAAUUCAAUUCGAAUAUUUCUGAACAAGGAAGUGGCAAACUUAACUGAAUUUAUAUACUUAUAAAGGUGUUAACGACAAAAAAGUCUUGCGUGUUCCGUCCGAAGGAACAAAAACGUAAGGUCUUUCGUGGGUAAUUUUAUGACGCCUGCUUUCGAACACAAGAGGCUAUUUUUGAGUAGAGACUUUAGAGCAUUUAGAACGAUUUCUUUCAAUAAUUCUAACAAUCUUUUCUAUUUUCUAUGUCUAUCAUAUUCUCAAUGACCAUGCGUGUCAUAAAUCAGGUUACCUCCGAGGCGUCAUUAGUACAUUAGCGACAUAUGAUGGUCUGAUCGAUCGCUUGAAAGAUCACCUGGAGAAUUGUUUGUGGCCUAAUCAUCUCGAGGCCUCACGUUCGUCUAGAAAGAGUUCACCCUCUUCCCUUCAAGGACAUGCUUCGAGCGCAUGAUAGGCUAUAACGGUAUGAAUGAAAUCUAAAGAACAUGCUGAUUGGUUUUUCUUUGAAUUUGCUGUGAAUACCACCAGAUUGAUAUACUUCUAAACUUCUGCCUUAUAACGUCCAAUAUAGAUAACAAAUCGAGAAAUCAAGUCUGCCAUGCUAAUUAAAACGAUGCACAAUAAUUUUUCGCAUCGUUGUAACGAAACGUCCCAACUGUGAUCGCAAUCAUUGUCAGGUAAAGGUUAGAAAAAUUGUGGAAUUAGCAAAUGUAUUCUCUAGUUAAUAAGUAUUCGGCAUUUAACUAUAUUAACGAAGAUUUUUGAAGUGCAAUGUUAUCAUAUUAUACACCGUAAUGACAUAUUUCAAUUAAAAAAUAAAAAAAAUAAAUCCAAUAAACUUAUUCGAUUUUCAGAAAUUUCUGUAUAGCUUUUAGAAACAUUUAAUCAAUCGAUAUCAUGGUAGAGACGUAAGGAUACGUAACUAUAAUGACUGCAAUUUUACUUAAAUCUGCUGUUUCAAUAUGUACAUACUUAUAUUUUUGCUUAAAUAGGCAUCCUGUUAUUAGAAAUUUAACAAAAAUAUCAACAAUUAAUUGUUUCCAUUACAUUAUAAUGAAUGUUAUUAAAAAGUCUCGUUCUUAAAAAGGAUUGUGCUUAUAAAUAAUUAUAUCAUACACGUAGAGCGUAUAAAAAUGGAUACAGUUCUUUCUCUACAAUCUCUUAAUGGUGUGUUAAUUUCAUUUUCCGAUUUCUAUGUCAUUUAUUCUGUGUCUCUUGAGAAAAAAAAAUUUAAAAAGAAGAAUGCGCUUUAAGUAUAUCGUUCUUACAAAAUAAAUUGUCAAAGCUUUUCCUCAGAUUGAACUGAGAGUAGUAGUGUUAGUAUCUGCUACUGUUCUCUAGUGUGCAUUGGAACGCUUGUAGCGCCUUGUUUCGUGUACACAUGCUUCACUAAAACACGACACCCAGAGGUACAAGAUAACAUCAAAUAUUUCACUUCUAAAGAUAGAAGUCAAUUGAUUGUCCAUAUUAUCCCGCUAUCACGUUUUAUACUCAAUAAUCAAUGAGAGUUUUGAUGCUGUUUGCAAGAAUGUUAUAUUUAAUACUACAUAGCGUAACAGUGUCAAGUGUAAUAAUAAAUGUAAACUUCACCAGGAGUUUCUUGAAAGUAGAUUUGAAAUUGCGUAAAAUUAUACAUAUAUCUUUUCCAAGUCGACACGGAGUCUAACAAAGUUUUCAGUUUCCACUAUUGUUCAUUUAUUGUAACGCGUGUUUGGCUCAAGUAGGGGUAGAGGUCGAAAUACAGUUUAUUUUCUUAUUGUUCUCAUAGAGACGAAUCUUCCUUCGAUUAUACGCGCCCAGUUAGGUUGAAUUUCGCGCGGUGGGUAUCCUUCUCUCAAGUUGCACACAUGCAACUUGUGGCACAGAGUAUCGAUGAAAGCAACGUCUUAAAUUUUCUACCAACGCCACAAUGUGAUACUGUGUUAUUGUUAUAAAAUACCACCUCCACAGAAUUCAUUAACUAAUCGUGAAACAUUUUUCAUCACAAAGACAACCAAUAGCAUCUUUUUUAAGACAUCCACGAAGGGCUAAUAUGAUUUUAAAAGAGCAGAAUGGUUUUGACUGCGACAGUGAAAAAUGUAACCUUUUAAAAUUAUUACAUUUAGCAUCGAUUAAUUUCACUUUAUACAACUUUGUUAUAUUGUGUAUUAUAUAGUUUAUAACGAUACAAUGUUAUUGUUAUUAAAUUAUUUUACUUUUAUUAGUGAUAGUACUUGUAAUUUGUUAAUUAGUGAUUCAGUAGUAGUAGUAAAAAGUGAUGAUGAUAGUUGGUGUUAUCACAAUUAUCAUUGUUUGCACUGAAGCCUAUAGAUAGACGAGCAAGUUAUAUGGAAAAAGUGGGCGACAACGUCCAUUGGAUAUGAAAAAGAGCGGGAAUAAAGAUUAUUAGUUUCCUCUGGUAAGCACGGUCGUGUACACAAGAUUGGAAACACCAAUGGUGUUAUACCACUAUGGAACACUGCGAUCGAGAAUCUGGAUUUUGUAUUUAGCGUCAUCCUUCGGUGAAAGCAUUGAAGAUAAAGGAUAUAAACUAAAUCACUUAAACUGAGCUUAAUCAAUGAUUGAACUAAACUAUUUUUCAUAAUUUUUCUCCGUUUAUUUAAAGUAAAUACAUAUACAAUAUUUCAUAUAAUAUAGAAAAAUGUUGCUUAAAUGAAUAUUAGUUAUAAACUGUUAUUAAAUAUGUAUUAUUAUUUCCAACAAAAAGUUUUAACAAAAUUACAAGGUCCAAAUCAAAUAUGUACACAUAGAUUUAGUAUUUUUAUAUUUGGCGCACGUAAUAAAAUAUGUUUAUCGUAAGCACAUUUUUAGUUUUAUUAAUUCAUUAAUGUAUGACUAUUAACGCUAUCUAUAAUGUACGUAGAUAAUAUGAUGUCCAAAAUAUUAUGCAUGAUUGAAACAUUUCAAUGUUAUUAAAAUUUUUAUUGAAAAAGCAAAGUUACAGUAUAAUCUUAGAGUUUACAUAGGUUUUUAGUAAUGAGAAACAUAUUUAUAUUAUAUAACAUUUAUUAGACAUUAGUUAAAAACAAAAUAAUAAUAAUAAUAAUAAUAAUAUAAUCAUAAUAAUCAUUUAUGCAGUACAAAAGUUGGUCUCUAUUAUCAUUAUCGUAGUGUCGCGUUUUUUCCUAUCACCCCUGCUACUCGGCCUGCCGUGAAUCCAGUAUGUGAUCAGAUUCAGAAAAGAGAGAGGAAGAGAUGGAGACAGAGAGAACCGGGAACCAGGUACGGGCUAUCUCUACACGAUAGCGUUACAUAACGAAUCCUAACUUCUCCAUUGGAGCGCCUUACUGCGGAUAAAUUGACCAACUUCGUCCGAUCACUAAGAGCCUUACCCCCCACCACCGGAGUUUCUAGACCUAUAUAUACAACCGUGGUGAUAAUUAUCCUAGGUACUUUCAAUGUUAGUAUUGGACAAACUACAAAACGAUAUUGGUAAAAGACUGAUAGGUACAUUUUUUAAUUGUUGAUCGCUACUUCACUACAUGCUAUAAACAUUAUGAUAAUAAUUACUUUAAAUUUAUUGAAUAAUGAUAUAAAGACAUU